GAUGAAGAACGCAGUGAAAUGCGAUAAGUAAUGUGAAUUGCAGAAUUCAGUGAAUCAUCGAAUCUUUGAACGCACAUUGCGCCCCCGAGUAUUCUGGCGGGCAUGCCUGUUCGAGCGUCAUUUCAACCAUCAAGCCCUGCUUGUGUUGGGGUCCUGCGGCUGCCCGCAGGCCCUGAAAACCAGUGGCGGGCUCGCUAGUCACACCGAGCGCAGUAGCACAUCUCGCUCAGGGCGUGCGGCGGGCUCCAGCCGUUAAAGCACCCACCUUUCGCAAGGUUGACCUCGGAUCAGGUAGGAAUACCCGCUGAACUUAAGCAUAUCAAUAAGCGGAGGA
rnacentral:misc_RNA from 1 species